rnacentral:rRNA from 1 species
AAUAGCCCUUUGAAGUAGAUAACCGGUGAAGCCUGCCCAGUGGGAAACUUUUCCUCAACGGCCGCGGUAUCUUGACCGUGCAAAGGUAGCAUAAUCAUUUGUCUCUUAAAUGGGGACCUGUAUGAAUGGCUUUUCAUUCUCUAGCUGUCUCCCUUCUUCCCCCUUUAAACUUCUAUUUACGUGAAGAAGCGUAAUUUUGACAGAAAGACGAGAAGACCCUGUCGAGCUUCAGCUAAACCUAAGUCCCACUACAUUUCCUCUCAGAGAAAAAGUAAAGUCCUUAGAACAAGCUUUGGUUGGGGCAACCAUGGAGUAAAAACAGCCUCCAGUUUUUCAGGUAGAAAACUAUUCUCCUAAAUAUACACUUUUAGAACCAAAAAUUUUGGAAAACGGAAAAAGUUACCGCAGGGAUAACAGCGUUAUCUUUUCUGAGAGCCCUUAUUGACGAAAAGGAUUGCGACCUCGAUGUUGGAUUGGGGUAACCAGAGGGUGCAGCAGCUCU